CAUCAUUUUGGGGGGUUCCCCAUCAUUUCAUGUGUGUACCUGUAAUUUUUAGUGCAUUCCCAGUCAUUUUGAGGGUUUCCCUUCCCAAUAAUUUCGGGGUCUUCUCAUCGUUUUGGGGGAUUCCCAUCAUUUUAGAGUCCCCUCAUCAUUUUGGGGGUUCCUCAUCAUUUUGGGGUCCCUUCAUCAUUUUAGGGGAGGUCUGACCACCAGAAAAAUGUCUUUGACCUCCCAAAAAUUGACUUUGAACACCCAGUAGCUGAGGUUGCCUUCCCUCAAAAAAGGGAGAUAAUGGCCCAAAAACCCCUGAAAAUUCACUAGGAGUUUGUGUGAAAAAAAUAGGGCGAAAAAGCAUUUAAUUUUUCGACAUA